rnacentral:lncRNA from 1 species
CAAAAAUGGAGAGAAGCAAAGACAGAGCCAUUAAAUAUCGAGGCCUAAAGAGCAUGAUCAGUCAGAACUGAGUUAAGAAGCAAGAAAGAUAACUGGCAACAGUGAUGAAGGAGGAGGUGGGGAUCCCGCGGCAUACUGAAGGAGGAGAGCCCCAGGCAGAGGGAACGAUCAUCAGGACUCUGGACAAUUAGGACAGAGGGCACUGCACUGCUUCCCACCCCCACCUCACGCCAUGCCGCUGCUAUUUGAGCCCACUUCAGACUAUCGGCCUCUGGGAAGGAAGGCCUAUGCCUUUUUAAAUCUUCUCUUUGGAGUUUAUUCCAGUGCCCUGCAUGCAUGGAGGGAGAAUCCAAUCAAUGCACGACUGCUGAAGUGAUGACACCUGGUACCAGAGGACAAUGCUUAACAAGAAGAGUUAUUAAGAUUUAUGGGAAAUUCCUCAUUAAUGGGCUGGACAUCAAAAGAAAGCUAACACCUUUUCCUUCUGAGAGUAACUUGUAGAUGACUGAAUGACUGCUCAGAACCAGAGCAGCUUGAAAGAGCAGAGAAAGAACAUCUGUCAGAGCCUCACCAAGCACCAUGACCCUGCCCAGUGAACUCAGUGAUGCUUCUAGGACUCGGAGCUUCUCAUUCUCAUCUCAGCAGUUUCUGACAUGGAUGAAGUAUACUCAUGGACAUCAGCCCUCAGACUCUGCUCGUAGUAACCCUCUGAUCUGAAAAGUAAAGCAAGAAUCCUGGGGAUGGUAGAAAAAAUUGGGGUGCUAUGUGCAUCUCCCCAGUGUUCCACAGUCUGGAAGAGUGGCAUUAUAGUUCUUUAACCUGGUGAUAAAGAGAAGACAUGGGAAGCUAAGUCAAAUCUUGACCACCUAAGACAUAUUUUUAGUGAGUGGUUCCAUCUACUAAAAAAAACAUGUGCCCUAGGGAUUGCAUAGGACAAAGGGAUUCAGAAGCAGGUGGAGCUAAGGAAAAUCCAGGAAGAGAGAAGAAGAGGAAAUGGAGACACCCCCUCCCCAGGGUUCUGCCAUGCCCCCACUUGGUAUCUCUUAAAGAUGUGCUCAUGUGCUCUCAAACAACACAGAACUUCCUGUCAUCAAAAGUCAUCUUCACUUAGGUUGGAAGCCUUUUGUUCUAUUUGUUCCUUAAUAAAAUAUGGUUGAGAUG